AUUGAACGCUGGCGGCAUGCCUUACACAUGCAAGUCGAACGGCAGCGGGCCCUUCGGGGUGCCGGCGAGUGGCGAACGGGUGAGUAAUGCAUCGGAACGUACCCGGGAGAGGGGGAUAACCGGCCGAAAGGCUGGCUAAUACCGCAUGAACUCGGAGGAGCAAAGCGGGGGACCUUCGGGCCUCGCGCUCUCGGAGCGGCCGAUGUCCGAUUAGGCUAGUUGGUGGGGUAAAGGCCCACCAAGGCGACGAUCGGUAGCGGGUCUGAGAGGACGAUCCGCCACACUGGGACUGAGACACGGCCCAGACUCCUACGGGAGGCAGCAGUGGGGAAUAUUGGACAAUGGGCGCAAGCCUGAUCCAGCAAUGCCGCGUGGGUGAAGAAGGCCUUCGGGUUGUAAAGCCCUUUCGGCGGGGAAGAAAUCGGUCAGGCGAAUAGUCUGGCCGGAUGACGGUACCCGCAGAAGAAGCACCGGCUAACUACGUG
rnacentral:rRNA from 1 species